GACGUAGGGGGCAAGCGUUGUCCGGAUUUAUUGGGCGUAAAGAGCGUGUAGGCGGCCAGACAGGUCUGCUGUGAAAACUCGAGGCUCAACCUCGAGAUGUCGGCGGAAACCGUCUGGCUAGAGUCCGGAAGGGGCAACUGGAAUUCUUGGUGUAGCGGUGAAAUGCGUAGAUAUCAAGAGGAACACCUGCGGCGAAGGCGGGUUGCUGGGCCGACACUGACGCUGAGGCGCGAAAGCCAGGGGAGCGAACGGG
rnacentral:rRNA from 1 species